CACGUAGGGGGCGAGCGUUGUCCGGAUUUAUUGGGCGUAAAGAGCUCGUAGGCGGCUCAGUAAGUCGGGUGUGAAAACUCCAGGCUCAACCUGGAGACGCCACCUGAUACUGCGAUGACUUGAGUCCGGUAGGGGAGUGUGGAAUUCCUGGUGUAGCGGUGAAAUGCGUAGAGAUCGGGAAGAACAUCGGUGGCGAAAGCGCUCUACUGGACCGCAACUGACACUCAGGGACGAAAGCUAGGGGAGCGAAUGGG
rnacentral:rRNA from 1 species